UCAUUGUAUUUUUCAAAACAUUUUCUUUUUAUGCAAUGGUGAAACAAGGGGGGGUGGGAGUGACAAGAAGAAAGUUAGCAAACGCUAAGGGAAAUAGACACUGCAUGCAUGUAUUGACUGAUAUGCACGCAUGCACAAAAUAACUUGGCUGGCUGGCAAGCCUAGAUUGAACAGAACACAGCUAGCUGCAUUUCCCACGUUUUUAAUCCGAUGCUAAAAUGUUUUGUCCUGCCAAGUCAAUGCCAUAGACUGAAGUGAACGCAUCAGUUACCCCCUGUCUGUGAAAACAAAUAGAAAAAAAAAACGAUUUGCUACAUUUGUCAUUAGCUGACUAGCAUGGUCACCAAUUCAGGAUUUAAAAAAAACAUAAAACAAUUGAGACUUCUGAUUUUACAAUUAGUUUGUUUAACUGUUCAUCCCUAAACAGCUGAUAACCAGGACGAGAUCGCCUGCUAGCUAGCCAUCGGAUCCGACGAGCUAACGGCCGAUGUUCACUAGCAUGCGGUAAAUUGCCGCAUGUCACUUCGGCCGCUCGGUGUGGCUUGCUGGUGGGUGUGCUGGCAGCAUACAGCAGCAGUUUGGUUGUGCAUCAAGAAUUCUGCAUAGCAAGUUUGUAUGAAGGUCUGGUUAUUAAACGGUAAAUCCAUUUUCCAUUUCAUGAAUUUUUUCACAGGUAAAUAGUAAUAUGCUCUAAACUGCUCUGGUGACAAACUAACUUUGCUGCCCUGUUUCAUUCGUCCAGAAGGCUGGGAGAACCUAUUCAAGUAAGUAAAUAUAUUUAGAAAAUGUUUUUUAAAAAACGAUGAAUUAUUAGCUAUAGUUAGCUAACGCAUUUUUGUACAUCGCGCUGUAAUGUACAAUUUACCUUAUUUUAGCGCCCAAAAAAGCACAAUACUUCCAGGUCAACUGUAAUAUGAUAACCAUUGUAAAGCACAAUUUCUCCCCUUUCCAGCAAAAUCAAUGACGUGGGGAAACGGCUUUUUUCACCCGAUCUGUCCAACUUAUCACCUCUAAAAUGUAAAUAAAAAACUAUAAAGAGUUUAUAUAAUGUGUCAUUAUACACCUAUUUGAAGGUUUGUGUCGAAUUUGAAUCGGGUUUUUAGGGCAGCGCUAAAGUUAUCAUCAGAAUUAAACAGAGGCUGUCGUGGCUUUUGAGAGUCAUGAUGGCUUGCAGUGAUGACGCAAAAAAAUGAAUGCAUUCAGUUGUACAAUUGACUAGGUAUCCCCCCCUUACCCUGUCCCUUUCUUGUUUUUAAUCUGCGAGAGAAGUGCUACACCUGGUGAUACGUGACAAUAUAACGUACUGUAACGGCUCUCUUCUAUCUCCUCCUCUGACGAAGAGGUAGAACAAGGAUCGGACCAAAAUGCAGCGUGAAAGCAAUGAAAGCCUGUCUGCAGAUGAAGAGCAGUGGUUGUCAAACCUGGCCCCGGGGACUCAAAGGGGUGCAUGUUUUUGUUUUUACCUUAGCACUACACAGCUGAUUCAAAUGAUCAACUCAUCAUCCAGCUUCAAGUGGUAUUUAUGUAUUAAUUUGUGAUGCUAUCCUUGAUAUGAUCCUGCUGUUGUCACAUGCUACACAUGCACAUGUGUGUGCACAUGCAUUUAUCUAUCAGAUGUUAUCAUUAUUUGUUACGAGAUAUUAUACUUUAAUAAUCCACAGUGACCUGGUGAUGUAAAAGUUUAAUACAUGACAUUAUCUGCCAUAUUUCUACCUUGCAACUGGAGAUUCCUUCAAAACUAUUGUCUACAGUUGGGUGACCAGGGCCAUCUGGGACUGCCUCGUGGGGGAAUUUGGACGUGUGGAGGCUACCUGUGUACCUAACAUAACUUCAUGAGGAUGGACACGAGGACCAGGAUGGGAUCUGCAGCUCGCCGCAGAGUGCCAGAGGAGAGGUCUGCUGCUCUGCAGGAGGUUGCCAGGAUGAGGGCUAACAACACAACACGGGAAGCAAUCCGUGUGCGGGAGAUCUUCACCUUCUACUUCUUUCGAAGAGGGUGCUCUUCCCUGGCAACACCAUAGGCUACAGCAUGCACAACCAAAGGAUCUUUUAAGAGUCAUUCACAUUGCAAUAAGAGUAUUCUUCCAUUUACUUUGCCACUGUAUGUCAACUGAAGUUAUUCAAUUCCCAGUUUCUCUCCCUUUGAUUUCUACUUCUCAGGUGAGGGUGCUGUUCAGUAAGCAAGCUCAGGCGUAUAACUGUGGCUCCUUCCACCUUCAAAGAAUAGACAAGAGGACCAAUCAUGGAGAAUAGUAUGUUUUGAUGUGAGAGAGAACGCCAACCCCCAGUCGUCAUCGACAAAUCACCCGCUCUUAAGAUAAACUUCGGGCCAACUGGGGGCCCAAGGCUGGUUAGGAGACACUGCUAGAGACAAUAUUAUGCAAUUGUGAUGACCUGAGAGAAUAUGAAGUUUAGUAGCACUGUAAUUCAUGAAUCAUAUGCUGUCUUCCCUGCUCCUCUGUUCUUACCUCUUUCCCUUUCUGUCUUACACUCUUUAUCACACCUCUCUCCCCACCCCUUUUUUCCUCUAUUUUUACAAGGCACACCAGAUAUGCAUUUGAAAUACAGAUUUAUUUAUAAUAUAAUAUUACAAUUAUAAUAUUUAUAAUGCAUGUAUUAUGUAUUUAUAACACUUGGAUAAUGAACUUUCAAUAAAGUGUUUCGCAUUCUCUACUGGUUGAAAUUCUCCAAG